GACAGAGGGUGCGAACGUUGUUCGGAAUUACUGGGCGUAAAGCGCAUGUAGGCGGCAGCGCAGUCGGGCGAUGGAAAUCCCACGGCCUCAACCGUGGAAGUGCGACGUCGAAACUGCGCAGGCUAGAGUCCUGGAGAGGAAGGUGGAAUGCUUGGUGUAGAGGUGAAAUUCGUAGAUAUCAGGAGGAACACCGCGGUGUAGACGGCUUCUGGACCGUAGCUGACGCUGGAGACACGAAAGCGUGGGUAGCAAACAGG
rnacentral:rRNA from 1 species